UGCUGAGUAGUCGAUUCCCAGAUUUAAUGUCGAACUUUAACUCGGCUCAGCGGAAGAGAGCAGCUCCUCAUCUUUAACUGAGCUCUAAAGUCUACACACUGGAGUUGUCGACGGUUGGCUGGAAGUCACACCCCCCACCUCCCCCCUCCGUCCCCCGGGGCUGGAGGUCAGUCCAAUUCAUGAAGCAAAUCAAAGCAAGCCAGGAGACCACAGUUCAUUUGGCCGGCUCAGGGAUGGGUGGAGCACGCUCCAGUCUCAUGGUCCAGGGUUCAGAGGUUGCAGCGUAAAAUGGAGAGUGGAUGUAAGCACGGAGCAAGCUGAUACCUUCAUUUGAACAAAACGAGGUGUGAUUGGGAUGUGGUGAAGAAAUGAAGAGAACAACAAAAGAG